UACAGAGGGGGCAAGCGUUGCUCGGAAUCACUGGGCGUAAAGGGCGCGUAGGCGGGAUGGCAAGUCAGUCGUGAAAUCCCUGGGCUCAACUCAGGGGGGUCGGCUGAAACUGCCGUUCUUGAGGGACGCAGAGGAGACUGGAAUUCCCGGUGUAGCGGUGAAAUGUGUAGAGAUCGGGAGGAACACCGGUGGCGAAGGCGGGUCUCUGGGCAUUCCCUGACGCUGAGGCGCGAAAGCGUGGGGAGCAAACGGG
rnacentral:rRNA from 1 species